rnacentral:rRNA from 1 species
AUUGAACGCUGGCGGCAGGCCUAACACAUGCAAGUCGAGCGGCAGGCACGGGGAGCGUUGCUCCCUGGUGGCGAGCGGCGGACGGGUGAGUAAUGCAUAGGAAUCUGCCCGGUAGUGGGGGAUAACCUGGGGAAACCCAGGCUAAUACCGCAUACGUCCUACGGGAGAAAGCAGGGGACCUUCGGGCCUUGCGCCUAUCGGAUGAGCCUAUGUCGGAUUAGCUGGUUGGUGAGGUAAUGGCUCACCAAGGCAACGAUCCGUAGCUGGUCUGAGAGGAUGAUCAGCCACAUCGGGACUGAGACACGGCCCGA